rnacentral:rRNA from 1 species
AGAGUUUGAUUAUGGCUCAGGAUGAACGCUAGCUACAGGCUUAACACAUGCAAGUCGAGGGGCAGCAGAUCGAAAGCUUGCUUUGAUGCUGGCGACCGGCGCACGGGUGAGUAACGCGUAUCCAACCUUCCCUAUAGUAGAGAAUAGCCCGGCGAAAGUCGGAUUAAUGCUCUAUGUUGUAUUUAGAAGACAUCUGAAGAAUACCAAAGGUUUUACCGCUAUAGGAUGGGGAUGCGUCUGAUUAGGUUGUUGGCGGGGUAACGGCCCACCAAGCCCGCGAUCAGUAGGGGUUCUGAGAGGAAGGUCCCCCACAUUGGAACUGAGACACGGUCCAAACUCCUACGGGAGGCAGCAGUGAGGAAUAUUGGUCAAUGGACGAAAGUCUGAACCAGCCAAGUAAGCGUGCAGGAUGACGGCCCUAUGGGUUGUAAACUGCUUUUAUACAGGGAUAAAGUGAGGGACGUGUCCCUUUUUGUAGGUACUGUAUGAAUAAGGACCGGCUAAUUCCGUGCCAGCCGCCGC